rnacentral:lncRNA from 1 species
AUGGCUGCCCAAGGAGAACCCCAAGUUCAGUUCAAACUUGUAUUGGUUGGUGAUGGUGGUACUGGAAAAACUACAUUCAUGAAACGUCAUCUGACUGGUGAAUUUGAGAAGUAUGUAGCUACCUUGAAUGUUGAGGUCCAUCCUCUUAUGUUCCAUACCAACAGAGGACUGAUUAAGUUCAAUAUACAGUAUACAGCUUGUCAGGAGAAAUUUGGUGGACUGAGAGAUGGCUAUUAUAUAGAAGCUCAGUGUGCCAUUAUAAUGUUUGAUGUAACAGCAAGAGUUACUUACAAGAAUGUGCCUAACUGGCAUAGAGAUCUGGUACGCAUGCGUGAGAAUAUCCCAGUUGUGUUGUGUGGCAACAAAGUGGAUAUUAAGGACAGAAAGUUUAAGGCAAACUCAACUGUCUUCCACCAAAAGAAGAAUCUUCAGUACUAUGACAUUUCUGCCAAAAGUAGCUACUUUUGAAAAGCCCUUCCUUUGGCUUGCUAGAAAACCGAUUGGAGACCCUAACCUGGAGUUUGUCGCCAUGCCUGCUCUUGCCCCACCAGAGGUGGUCAUGGACCCAGCCUUGGCAGCACAGUAUAAGCCGAUUUAGAGGUUGCUCAGACAACUUCUCUCCCGGAUGGAGAUGAUGACCUGUGA